rnacentral:rRNA from 1 species
GACGAACGCUGGCGGCGUGCUUAACACAUGCAAGUCGAACGAAGUGGCGAACGGGUGAGUAAUACGUGAGUAACCUGCCCUCCUUUUUGGGAUAAGCCUUGGAAACGGGGUCUAAUACCGAAUAAAGGGGGAUGGGCUGGCGGCCUAUCAGCUGGUUGGUGGGGUGAUGGCGUACCAGGGCGGUGACGGGUAGCCGGCCUGAGAGGGUGACCGGCGACAUUGGAACUGGGCUACAGCCCAGAGGCCUACGGGAGGGAGGAAUAGGGGAUAAUGCACAAUAGGCGAAAGCCUGAAGCAGCGGCGUCGCGAGGGGGUUGAAGGAUUUCAGGUUGUAAACAUCUGUCGCGAACGGAAGGGUAGGUGGAGAAGAAGCGCCGGCUAACUACGUGCCAGCAGCCGCGGUAAUAC